rnacentral:rRNA from 1 species
UAGGGAAUCUUCGGCAAUGGACGAAAGUCUGACCGAGCAACGCCGCGUGAGUGAAGAAGGUUUUCGGAUCGGAAAACUCUGUCGUUAGAGAAGAACAAGGACGUUAGUAACUGAACGUCACCUGACGGUAUCUAACCAGAAAGCCACGGCGAACUACGUGCCAGCAGCCGCGGUAAUACGUAGGUGGCAAGCGUUGUCCGGAUUUAUUGGGCGUAAAGCGAGCGCAGGCGGUUUCUUAAGUCUGAUGUGAAAGCCCCCGGCCCAACCGGGGAGGGUCAGUGGAAACUGGGAGACUUGAGUGCAGAAGAGGAGAGUGGAAUUCCGUGUGUAGCGGUGAAAUGCGAAAAUGUAUGGAGGAAGACGAGGGGGGAAGGCGGCUCUCUGGUCUGUAACUGACGCUGAGGCUCGAAAGCGGGGGGAGCAAACAGG